GCCUGAGUGGCUCAGUUGAUUAAGCAUCUGACUUCAGCUCAGGUCAUGAUCUCGUGGUUCAUGGGUUUGAGUCCUGUAUCAGGCU
rnacentral:tRNA from 1 species